AUGAACGCUGGCGGCGUGCCUCAUCCAUGCAAGUCGAGCGAACAGACGAGGAGCUUGCUCCUCUGACGUUAGCGGCGGACGGGUGAGUAACACGUGGAUAACCUACCUAUAAGACUGGGAUAACUUCGGGAAACCGGAGCUAAUACCGGAUAACAUGUUGAACCACAUGGUUCAACAGUGAAAGACGGUCUUGCUGUCACUUAUAGAUGGAUCCGCGCCGCAUUAGCUAGUUGGUAAGGUAACGGCUUACCAAGGCAACGAUGCGUAGCCGACCUGAGAGGGUGAUCGGCCACACUGGAACUGAGACACGGUCCAGACUCCUACGGGAGGCAGCAGUAGGGAAUCUUCCGCAAUGGGCGAAAGCCUGACGGAGCAACGCCGCGUGAGUGAAGAAGGUCUUCGGAUCGUAAAACUCUGUUAUUAGGGAAGAACAAAUGUGUAAGUAACUAUGCACGUCUUGACGGUACCUAAUCAGAAAGCCACGGCUAACUACGUG
rnacentral:rRNA from 1 species